rnacentral:rRNA from 1 species
UCUUAACAUAAAAAUUCACACUAUCUUUAAUUGUACUUAUAAAAGAAAGAGUGAUAGAUAUGUUCUGUUGGGGCAACAAAGAUAUACAAAAAUAAACUGUUUUCAAAAUCAAACAAAGAUUAUUGACCUUACAUCGAUCCUUUUUCAAGAUUAAAAGACUAAGUU